UAGUUCUAACCAUAAACCAUGCCUGCCAGCGAUCCGCCGGCGUUCCUCCGAUGACCCGGCGGGCAGCUUCCGGGAAACCAGAGCUUUUGGGUUCCGGGGGAAGUAUGGUUGCAAAGCUGAAACUUAAAGGAAUUGACGGAAGGGCACCACCAGGAGUGGAGCCUGCGGCUUAAUUUGACUCAACACGGGAAAACUCACCAGGCCCGGACACCGGAAGGAUUGACAGAUUGAGAGCUCUUUCUUGAUUCGGUGGGUGGUGGUGCAUGGCCGUUCUUAGUUGGUGGAGCGAUUUGUCUGGUUAAUUCCGAUAACGAACGAGACUCUAUCCUAUUAAAUAGACGCAUCCGGUAUCCGCAAUCGUGCUACCGGCGAAUAAAUUUCUUCUUAGAGGUACGGGCGGCUGCUAGCCGCACGAUACUGGGCAAUAACAGGUCUGUGAUGCCCUUAGAUGUCCUGGGCCGCACGCGCGCUACACUGAAGGAAUCAGCGUGUCUUCCCUGUCCGUGAGGACCGGGUAACCCGCUGAACCUCCUUCGUGAUAGGGAUUGGGGCUUGAAACUGUUCCCCAUGAACGAGGAAUUCCCAGUAAGCGCGAGUCAUAAGCUCGCGUUGAUUACGUCCCUGCCCUUUGUACACACCGCCCGUCGCUACUACCGAUUGAAUGAUUUAGUGAGGUCUUCGGACUGGCGCGCGGAGUCGGCUUCGUCGCCUCCGAUGUCGUCGGAAAGAUGACCAAACUUGAUCAUUUAGAGGAAGUAAAAGUCGUAACAAGGUUUCCGUAGGU
rnacentral:rRNA from 2 species